GACGAACGCUGGCGGCGUGCCUAAUACAUGCAAGUAGAACGCUGAAGGAGGAGCUUGCUUCUCUGGAUGAGUUGCGAACGGGUGAGUAACGCGUAGGUAACCUGCCUGGUAGCGGGGGAUAACUAUUGGAAACGAUAGCUAAUACCGCAUAAUAGUAGAUGUUGCAUGACAUUUGCUUAAAAGGUGCAAUUGCAUCACUACCAGAUGGACCUGCGUUGUAUUAGCUAGUUGGUGGGGUAACGGCUCACCAAGGCGACGAUACAUAGCCGACCUGAGAGGGUGAUCGGCCACACUGGGACUGAGACACGGCCCAGACUCCUACGGGAGGCAGCAGUAGGGAAUCUUCGGCAAUAGACGGAAGUCUGACUGAGCAACGCCGCGUGAGUGAAGAAGGUUUUCGGAUCGUAAAGCUCUGUUGUAAGAGAAGAACGAGUGUGAGAGUGGAAAGUUCACACUGUGACGGUAUCUUACCAGAAAGGGACGGCUAACUACGUG
rnacentral:rRNA from 1 species